rnacentral:rRNA from 1 species
CCUACGGGUGGCAGCAGUGGGGAAUAUUGGACAAUGGGCGAAAGCCUGAUCCAGCCAUGCCGCGUGUGUGAAGAAGGCCUUCGGGUUGUAAAGCACUUUCAGUGGGGAAGAAAGCCUUGGGGCUAAUACCCUCGAGGAAGGACAUCACCCACAGAAGAAGCACCGGCUAACUCCGUGCCAGCAGCCGCGGUAAUACGGAGGGUGCGAGCGUUAAUCGGAAUUACUGGGCGUAAAGCGCGCGUAGGCGGUCUGAUAAGCCGGUUGUGAAAGCCCCGGGCUCAACCUGGGAACGGCAUCCGGAACUGUCAGGCUAGAGUGCAGGAGAGGAAGGUAGAAUUCCCGGUGUAGCGGUGAAAUGCGUAGAGAUCGGGAGGAAUACCAGUGGCGAGGGCGGCCUUCUGGACUGACACUGACGCUGAGGUGCGAAAGCGUGGGUAGCAAACAGGAUUAGAUACCCCUGUAGUC